ACGUGAAGGCGGAGGAGAUGAGAUUACUCGUUGGAUUUCCUCUAGGACUCACUUCAUUUCAGGGUGGACGCUGCGCAUUUUCGUGACCGGGACGAAAUCACCGCGCGGAUGAGGCGCCUUGAGAGCGCUGGCAGCCUAGAGGCUUUGAAGGCUGUGAUGUGCAUUGCAGACUUUCCUCACCGUUAGACGUGGGAAACGUCUUCCCGCCCAGAAGUAGUUUGUUGUACUGCCCUCGUGAUCUGCCACUUUGAGCAGGUUUCCUAGUGGCGUCUGGAGAUGGGCGGCUUAAUUUUGUGACUUUAAAAUUAAUUGAAAAUUUAAAUCAAAAAAGUAAUUGGGGAAUUCCGUGGUUAGGAUUCGGCGCUUUCACCGUGGAGGCCCAGGUUUAAUCCCUGGUCAGGGAACUGAGAUACCGCAAGCCGCACAACACGGCCAAAACAAAAUAACAACAAAAAAAGUAAUUGUUCCAGCAAGGAACCAGAACCUGUGCCAUCAACAUCCGGCAUGAGUGAAAUUGCAGCUUGCCCUCUGUUUCCUAUUGCUGAUGACCCUGCAGCUCUACCAUCUCUCACCUCCACUCCCUCCUCCAGUCAGUAACUCUUCUUUUUUUUUUAAAUAAAUUUAUUUAUUUUAUGUAUUUAUUUUUGGCUGUGUUGGGUUUUUGUUGCUGCAUGCAGGCUUUCUCUAGUUGCACUGAGCAGGGGCUGCUCUUUGUUCCGGUGUGCGGGCUUCUCACUGCGGUGGCUUCUCUUGUUGCCGAGCGUGGGCUCUAGGCCCGCGGGCUUCAGUAGUUGUGGCUCGCGGACUUAGCUGCUCCGUGGCAUGUGGGAUCUUCCCGGACCAGGGCUCGAACCCAUGUCCCCUGCAUCGGCAGGCAGAUUCUUAACCAGUGUGCCACCAGGGAAGCCCCUCAGUAACUCUUCUUGUCUGUUCAUUCAGUGCCAGCCCCUGUGUGGCAGCUGUUGUACUGGACUACUGUACUUUUCAAGGUAUUGUACUGGAAGAUUAAACAUGUUUUCUU
rnacentral:lncRNA from 1 species